UACGAAGGGGGCUAGCGUUGCUCGGAAUCAUUGGGCGUAAAGGGUGCGUAGGCGGCGCGGUAAGUCGGGUGUGAAAUCUCGGAGCUUAACUCCGAAACUGCAUUCGAUACUGCCGUGCUUGAGGACUGGAGAGGAGACUGGAAUUUACGGUGUAGCGGUGAAAUGCGUAGAUAUCGUAAGGAAGACCAGUGGUGAAGGCGGGUCUCUGGACAGUUCCUGACGCUGAGGCACGAAGGUCAGGGGAGCAAACGGG
rnacentral:rRNA from 1 species